rnacentral:rRNA from 1 species
GAAAUACAAAUCGGACUAGGAUAUAGCUGGUUUUCUGCGAAAAUUGUUUUGGCAAAUUGUUUAUUCCUCUAAAAAAUAGUAGGUAUAGCACUGAAUAUCUCGAGGGAGUAUGAAAAUAUUUAUCUCAGAUAUUUAAUCUCAAAAUAACUAUUUCUUAAAAUAAAUAAUCAGACUAUGUGCGAUAAGGUAGAUAGUCGAAAGGGAAACAGCCCAGAACAGUAAUUAAAGCUCCCCAAUUAAUAUUAAGUGAA